CAUGCAGUCGAGCGGACCGACGGGAGCUUGCUCCCUUAGGUCAGCGGCGGACGGGUGAGUAACACGUGGGUAACCUGCCUGUAAGACUGGGAUAACUCCGGGAAACCGGGGCUAAUACCGGAUGCUUGAUUGAACCGCAUGGUUCAAUCAUGAAAGGCGGCUUCGGCUGCCGUUUACAGAUGGACCCGCGGCGCAUUAGCUAGUUGGUGAGGUAACGGCUCACCAAGGCGACGAUGCGUAGCCGACCUGAGAGGGUGAUCGGCCACACUGGGACUGAGACACGGCCCAGACUCCUACGGGAGGCAGCAGUAGGGAAUCUUCCGCAAUGGACGAAAGUCUGACGGAGCAACGCCGCGUGAGUGAUGAAGGUUUUCGGAUCGUAAAGCUCUGUUGUUAGGGAAGAACAAGUACCGUUCGAAUAGGGCGGUACCUUGACGGUACCUAACCAGAAAGCCACGGCUAACUACGUGCCAGCAGCCGCGGUAAUACGUAGGUGGCAAGCGUUGUCCGGAAUUAUUGGGCGUAAAGCGCGCGCAGGCGGUUUCUUAAGUCUGAUGUGAAAGCCCCCGGCUCAACCGGGGAGGGUCAUUGGAAACUGGGGAACUUGAGUGC
rnacentral:rRNA from 1 species